rnacentral:rRNA from 1 species
CCCAGACUCCUACGGGAGGCAGCAGUGGGGAAUAUUACACAAUGGGGGAAACCCUGAUGCAGCGACGCCGCGUGAGUGAAGAAGUAUUUCGGUAUGUAAAGCUCUAUCAGCAGGGAAGAAAAUGACGGUACCUGACUAAGAAGCCCCGGCUAACUACGUGCCAGCAGCCGCGGUAAUACGUAGGGGGCAAGCGUUAUCCGGAUUUACUGGGUGUAAAGGGAGCGUAGACGGCAGCGCAAGUCUGGAGUGAAAUGCCGGGGCCCAACCCCGGAACUGCUCUGGAAACUGUGAAGCUGGAGUGCAGGAGAGGUAAGCGGAAUUCCUGGUGUAGCGGUGAAAUGCGUAGAUAUCAGGAGGAACACCGGCGGCGAAGGCGGCUUACUGGACUGUAACUGACGUUGAGGCUCGAAGGCGUGGGGAGCAAACAGGAUUAGAUACCCUGGUA